AUCUACUGCCAUAUCAUCCUGAAUAUGCCCAAUCUCCUCUGAUCUCGAAAGCUAAGCAGAGUCGGGCCUGGUUAGUACUUGGAUGGGAAAAUAUUAGAGGGGCACAAAUGUUUUGGUUA
ensembl:rRNA 5S_rRNA 5S ribosomal RNA